rnacentral:rRNA from 1 species
GACAGAGGGGGCAAGCGUUGCUCGGAAUUACUGGGCGUAAAGGGCGCGUAGGCGGGAUGGCAAGUCGGUCGUGAAAUCCCUCGGCUCAACCGAGGAACGUCGAUCGAUACUGCUGUUCUUGAGGAUUGCAGAGGAGACUGGAAUUCCCGGUGUAGCGGUGAAAUGUGUAGAGAUCGGGAGGAACACCGGUGGCGAAGGCGGGUCUCUGGGCAAUUCCUGACGCUGAGGCGCGAAAGCGUGGGAGCAAACAGG